AUGAAGAGGAGGAUUACACCAAGGAUUACAGAAAGCAAACAACAUGAAAUUUUUCAAAAAUUUGGAGUAGAAUUACCUGUGUGGUGACUAUGAUGAGCCAACUAGCCAUAACCGAGAUCUUUCUAUGGUAAAAGGCCUUGAUGAUAUUAACAAUCCCCACAGCGUAGGCAGAUCCACCGCCAAACGCAGAGCCUGCGUUUGCAAAGAUUGUAAUGAGAACAUGCUCUUUCAUAUUGAAACGGCCAGGAUUCAACGAGAUGUGACCCAAAAGAGGCACUUUGUAUUUUGUAGAGGGCAGAACUGCAGCCAUGAAGCGCCCAAUUGGAAGAGCUGCUACCUGAACUGAUAUCUGUGUGAUAACCAGAAGUUCCUUUCUGUAGCCAAAGAAUUGAUUGAGAAAAGAGAGUGUUAUGCAGGAGAGCAGACCCAAAAACCACAUUCGAAAAGUCCAUACAGGAAUAGAAGGAUCGUCGUGUGUGCUCACAGUGAAGACCACUUCCUCCACUGGUGAAUUCUCCUCCUCUUAAAAUGAUAAGCCUUUCCACGCCUUCCAUAAAGAAGAUUGUGAAUGAUUGCCAGCAUUUCAUCACCUACUUGGAUAGUUUAUAUGCCACAUUUGGAAUGUUCUUAAGCUGUGUGCCUUUGCCCUGUUCAAUGAUGAAUUCUCAUUGGUGGAAGGAUCAAAGGUUUUUACAGAUUCUUUUCUCUCACAGGCCGAUCCAGCGGAGUAGUAGGCGUUGAAAGUAAAUCCUCGGUUUUCUCUUCUCUGAAUUCUUCAGCCAUAUCGAGAUUCGAACCUGUGACUAAGGUUCAAACCCUGGAAUUCAAAAUUUUUUUUCACAUUCUGGCUGGUAAAAGAUGAAGAGGCAAAACGGAGGAUCAGAAAAUAGCAACCAAAUGAGAUCAAAUUCCCUCUUCCGGGAAUGCAAUGAUUGCAGGUUAGACACACGUUAGAUUUGCUGAAAAGAGUUUAGAAACUUUCAAGCAAAUGCAAUUGGCAGAUUUCACAACCUUUUUCAGUUCACUUUCUGUCUGUGCAAAACGGGAGAUUUGGAAGAGGAUGUUGAAAUCGAUCAAAGCAUAAAGA